UACGGGGGGAGCAAGCGUUGUUCGGAUUUACUGGGCGUAAAGCGUGCGCAGGCGGUUUUGCAAGGCAGAUGUGAAAUCCCCGGGCUUAACCUGGGAACUGCAUUUGUGACUGCAUGGCUGGAGUGCGGCAGAGGGGGAUGGAAUUCCGCGUGUAGCAGUGAAAUGCGUAGAUAUGCGGAGGAACACCGAUGGCGAAGGCAAUCCCCUGGGCCUGCACUGACGCUCAUGCACGAAAGCGUGGGGAGCAAACAGG
rnacentral:rRNA from 1 species